UAUGGAUGACACAUAGAGCAAGGAUUCCUUAGGGGAGGUCAUGUGACCUGAUUAAGCCCAGAAGAACGAGGUAACAAUGAGCACAACCCACAGCACAGCGAACACAGGAGCGCAGUCGUGUUACUCUCAGUUCUACAUGGAGAAAUCAUUCAUCUUACUGAUUGUCACCAUCACCACAGGACUGAGUGCUGGUGAUGAUAUCAGACCUGAAAAGGAUCAACAGUCCGGUACAGAAGGAGAAUCCGUGACACUGAGCUGUAAAUACAGUGCUAACAGUAACAAUGUUUAUCUCUACUGGUACAGACAGAACAUGAACCAGGCUCCUCAGUACCUCCUCUACAAGGGGGCCCGAUCAUAUAGCAGCGAGCAUACAACAGAUGACAGAUUCAAAUGUACCACAUCCAGGGACUCAACCCAGCUCACCAUCGAAGCUCUUACCAUGUCAGACACAGCCAUCUACUACUGUGCUCUGAUGGUGGCACAGUGAGCAAAAGUCACUGAGAAGCUCUACAAAAACUCUUUUGCCC